rnacentral:lncRNA from 1 species
GAACGGAUGCAAACAUUAUGCAAAAUCACACUGAGACACAGACCAAUUGGGAGGUACAUAACUUCCCUCUAACACGGAUUACCUUAACCACAUCAAAUCCCAAGCAAAAAUCAUAUCACCUUAACCAAAUCAAACCCCAGACAAAUCAUAAGUAUCAUAGAUGCUUUUCAAAUAAAACCAAAGACAUAUUGAAUUUUCCGGUUCCAUUCUUUCUCCUUUCCCGUCAUUUUCUCUUUUUUUUCCUUUUCUUUUUUUCUUUUUCUUUUUGGACGGGAGGUUGGAACCGGUUCUCGUCUCACAAACAGCAUCAACAAAACUCAAUCAUGAUUGGUCACAGCACAUGCUCAUGAAUAUAACAAUAUAAUCACAAGAACUCAAUGUCAAUCACCCCAAACAACUACAAUUACAAUCCUAAUUAAAGGAAAGCUAUGUCGGUCUGUAUACUCUGUAGUUUUUGCACAUAAUGACAAUGAUAAUGACAUACGAAUGCAUGUGGUCUGAAACAUGGAUAGGGCUAAAGGUUUGCUACUAGACUAAAUAUGAGUCUAGCCAUUCAGAGUUUACAAAGAGUGGUAAAAUAACGCGAACUAAACUCUGAAUAUAUGAUCCAUUACAUGAUUGCCAACCCCCUAAGUGAGAUAUAACAAGUUUAGAUUAAGUUCAAAUAAGCAAGGUUAAGCUCAAAUCAUCCAAAUUUCGAAGUGAGGGAUUAUACGAGUGAUUAUCAAUAUCAAACAAAACUCCUAAAUAAAAUUAUGCAAGAAGAGAUCUAGACAUUUCAGGCAUUGAAAACUUAAACUCGAGAUCAUAAAAAUUCAAAGCACAAUGAUAUUCAAUAUGAAAACAUAUCUCAUGGUAAUCUCUAGCAAGUUUUUCUGCUCUAAAAGUAUAUAGCUGUUAAGACUCACCUGUCAAAUCAUAACAUUCACUGAUAAUCUUGGGAGUAUGCAAAGUAGAAUCAACAUCUUCAAUGCAAGGCAUAGAAAAAUCUUCAAAAUCAUGAAUUUCAAAGGUUGAAACGCAUGUACCUUCUAUGUCGCUCGAUGGAACCGAAUAUUUUACAUUUUCAAGAUCAUGGGCUUCUUUGAUCUCAUAGCCUGUGAGUUUCCUUCCUUCAUAUGCUGCCCGCAACGAUAUGAGGUUCAGCCGGAUCAUAGUCGCUAAGUCACUCCUUGUCAAUGUUAGAUUGUCCACGUAAAGUUCAUCCAACUUCACUUUUUUCCGGUGUAAUAACACUCUCAUCAAAUGGUGGCUCUAUAUAUGGCUCAUCCUCUUCUUCUUGUGGCCAAUCAUUGAAUUCCAUGGCCAACAACUCCUAAAUCAACAAAAAGAAAUAAAAUUUGUUAGUUAUAAAAAAGUGUAGAGAAAAUGCUCUAGACAAGAAACUAAUCCUAAAUCUUUAAGUAACGCAAUUACUCCCCAGCAGCGGGGCCAACUUGAUUACUCGAGUAUUUAACCCGAUAAAUUAACCGGAGUAAAUUAUAUGCGGGAUCGAUCACAAGGAGCAAUGGUACACUAAAGACUUGCGAGACUCGUUCUUAGCUAAAGCAGAAAAGACUUGUUUGGUUUUUCAGUUUGUAAAUAAAAAUGCAAAAAUAAAUUGUGAUUAAACUUAUGAAUUAAAGACAUUGGGCAGCAGGGUAUUUUCAGAGAAUCAAUGAAUAACAAAUAAAAGCGAUAAGGAAUUCAAACAUGAAGAGCCGUUCUUAAACAUGAACACAAGUUUAGACUAACUCUCUCUCUCAAGACAUUAAUCACUAAAUUUAACUAUUUAAUUACUAAACUCUCAUUUGUAAUUUCAUAGCCAAAUUCACAUUAUCAAACAUGUUCUUUUGGUUCACAAAGCAUUCUAACAUCAACUCUCGCAGGUUAGAAAUACAAUGCUCAAUUUACAUUCAUUCAGGCAUUUUAUCGAACAUCUCUGAAACACAUAAAAGCCUAAGUUCUAAAACAGGGUGAUCAAUCCUAUUCUAGCAUUGAGAACAUGUAAAUUGAAGAACCUAAAGAUUAAGAAUUCCCUAAGACAUCUAAUCUAUCAAAUCAUUGAAUUCUCCUACUUGAAACCCUAAAACCCAAUUAAGAGACUACUCAAACAUAGCAAAAGAGAAAACAAAAAUCAUAGAUGAAGAAAACAUGAUGAAAUUUCAGAAACAAUAAGAAAGGAUUUAUAAAUCUUCUCCAAGUGUCAAGAGGAUGGAUUCGUCUCCCAUAAUUGUUUAAGAAGCAAAGAACAACGUUUAGAACUCAAAAUAUGAAGGAUGGCUGCUAAAAAGUCGAGCCUAGGGUAUAAAAACAAUAGGAGACGAUUUUGGUCGGUUAUGAAGUGUUUCGGAUCAAAUAUGGGCCAAAACAUACGUCAGAGGUAAGGGACCGAUCGAUCCAAAUGUUAGACCGAUCGGUCUAAUGCUCCCAGGUUUUACUUCUGCAUUAGCUUCAAAAACUCGUCAGAAUGACCUGUCUUCACAAAAUCGGGGGUAACUCGUGAAUGCACCGUUAGAUUUUCUUGAAAUCACUUGCAAAUAAAAGCUAUCACCUGUCUUCAUUUUGUGUCAAAAUAUGAGCAAGCUCUAACGGUUGAAAGUUGUCCAUAUGAUCUCAAACAUCUGACACUUCUACAUGAAUCUGCAUCUCCAAAUGUGUGUUUGCAUCCCAAAACGGCUCAUUUUAUUUCAAAGCAACCUAAAACCUGUAAAGAUUCUAUACUGGACUAAAAGACUCUAAAAACACACUUUGACUCAAUAAAAAUUAUAAAAUUAAAGAGAAAAAAGACUUGUCGAUAAAAACACAAUAUAUCAACUCCCCCCGACUUAGAUUCUUGCUUGUCCUCAAGCAAAACAAAAAUCUUAACCAAGAGAAUAGGUUUGAAAACAUGAGAACUCACAUAUUCUUUUGGGAUCAUGCUCUUAAUCAAUUGCUUGCAAACCACUACCACAAAUUUUAUAUCAAACCGUACAAUAAUGUACUUCACCAUGACAUCAUGAGAUUCCUAAAGCACAAAGAACUUCAUAAUCAAAUAACUUAACCUUUUAACAUUCAUUAGCAGUUUCGUGCAUUGUCAAAAAGGGAAUAUCGAACACGUUAUGGUCUAGGUGUAAAAUCAGUUUUAGGUGGCUCAAGUGUUUAAGGUUCAGCAGUAAUACGAACGGAUGCAAACAUUAUGCUAAAUCACACUGAGACACAGACCAAUUGGGAGGUACAUAACUUCCCUCUAACUCGGAUCACCUUAACCACAUCAAAUCCCAAGCAAAAAUCAUAUCACCUUAACCAAAUCAAACCCCAGACAAAUCAUAAAUAUCAUAGAUGCUUUUCAAAUAAAACCAAAGACAUAUCGACUUUUCCGGUUCCAUUCUUCUUUCCCGUUAUUUUCUCUUUUUUUUUUUUUUUUUAGACGGGGGAGUGGAACCGGUUCUCGUCUCACAAACUGUU